rnacentral:misc_RNA from 1 species
AAGUCGUAACAAGGUUUCCGUAGGUGAACCUGCGGAAGGAUCAUUACCGAGUGAGGGCCCUCUGGGUCCAACCUCCCACCCGUGUUUAUCAUACCUAGUUGCUUCGGCGGGCCCGCCGAAGACCCCCCUGAACGCUGUCUGAAGAUUUGCAGUCUGAGCGAUUAGCUAAAUCAGUUAAAACUUUCAACAACGGAUCUCUUGGUUCCG